rnacentral:rRNA from 1 species
GAUGAACGCUGGCGGCGUGCUUAACACAUGCAAGUCGAACGGAAAGGCCCAAGCUUGCUUGGGUACUCGAGUGGCGAACGGGUGAGUAACACGUGGGUGAUCUGCCCUGCACUUCGGGAUAAGCCUGGGAAACUGGGUCUAAUACCGGAUAGGACCACAUUUUGGAUGGUGUGGUGGAAAGUUUUUCGGUGUGGGGUGAGCUCGCGGCCUAUCAGCUUGUUGGUGGGGUAAUGGCCUACCAAGGCGUCGACGGGUAGCCGGCCUGAGAGGGUGUACGGCCACAUUGGGACUGAGAUACGGCCCAGACUCCUACGGGAGGCAGCAGUGGGGAAUAUUGCACAAUGGGCGCAAGCCUGAUGCAGCGACGCCGCGUGGGGGAUGACGGCCUUCGGGUUGUAAACUCCUUUCGCUAGGGACGAAGCGCAAGUGACGGUACCUGGAGAAGAAGCACCGGCUAACUACGUG